UACGGGGGGAGCAAGCGUUGUUCGGAUUUACUGGGCGUAAAGGGCGCGUAGGCGGCCACCGCAAGUCGGUUGUGAAAUCUCUGGGCUUAACCCAGAAAGGUCAACCGAUACUGCGGGGCUAGAGUGCAGAAGGGGCAACUGGAAUUCUCGGUGUAGCGGUGAAAUGCGUAGAUAUCGAGAGGAACACCUGCGGCGAAGGCGGGUUGCUGGGCUGACACUGACGCUGAAGCGCGAAGGUCAGGGGAGCAAACGGG
rnacentral:rRNA from 1 species